UUUUAUUUAUCUUAGUGGCGGACGGGUGAGUAACGUGUGGGCAACCUGCCCUAUACUGGGGAAUAAUCACUGGAAACGGUGACUAAUACCGCAUGUCAUUACGGAAGGGCAUCCUUCUGUAAGAAAAGGAGUAAUUCGGUAUAGGAUGGGCCCGCAUCUGAUUAGCUAGUUGGUGAGAUAACAGCCCACCAAGGCGACGAUCAGUAGCCGACCUGAGAGGGUGAUCGGCCACAUUGGGACUGAGACACGGCCCAAACUCCUACGGGAGGCAGCAGUGGGGAAUAUUGCACAAUGGGGGAAACCCUGAUGCAGCAACGCCGCGUGAAGGAAGAAGGUUUUCGGAUCGUAAACUUCUAUCAACAGGGACGAAGAAAGUGACGGUACCUGAAUAAGAAGCCCCGGCUAACUACGUGCCAGCAGCCGCGGUAAUACGUAGGGGGCAAGCGUUAUCCGGAAUUACUGGGUGUAAAGGGAGCGUAGGCGGCACGCCAAGCCAGAUGUGAAAGCCCGAGGCUUAACCUCGCGGAUUGCAUUUGGAACUGGCGAGCUAGAGUACAGGAGAGGAAAGCGGAAUUCCUAGUGUAGCGGUGAAAUGCGUAGAUAUUAGGAAGAACACCAGUGGCGAAGGCGGCUUUC
rnacentral:rRNA from 1 species